rnacentral:rRNA from 1 species
UGAGUAACGCGUGGGUAACCUGCCCUGUACAGGGGGAUAACAGCUGGAAACGGCUGCUAAUACCGCAUAAGCGCACGAGGAGACAUCUCCUUGUGUGAAAAACUCCGGUGGUAUAAGAUGGACCCGCGUUGGAUUAGCUAGUUGGCAGGGCAGCGGCCUACCAAGGCGACGAUCCAUAGCCGGCCUGAGAGGGUGAACGGCCACAUUGGGACUGAGACACGGCCCAGACUCCUACGGGAGGCAGCAUG